CAAGCAGGCCGGGCAGCCGCUCUUCGCUCAGGCGGGGAGAGGAAAGUCCGGGCUCUAUCGGGCUGGGUGCUGGGUAACGCCCAGGCGGGGUGACCCGACGGAAAGUGGCACAGAAACUAUACCGCCAGGCUCAAUGCCUGGUAAGGGUGAAAACGGGCGGCAAGAGCGCCCGGCUGUACGUGGUGACACGGCGGCGGUCAAACCCCACCCGGAGCAAGGCCAAAAGGGCGGAUUCAAGGGUGAGCCCGACCCAUCCGCAGGUAGGCCGCAGGACCCCGGCGGCAACGCCGCCCUAGCGGGGUCCCUCCGCAAGGAGGGAUGGGCUAGAUAGAUGGCUGCCCCUCUCUGGAAGGUGGGAGGAUGGCCGAGUGCCGUAAACCACCUCUCGGGGAGGACAGAACCCGGCUUAUAGGCCUGCUUGACCU
rnacentral:RNase_P_RNA from 1 species